rnacentral:rRNA from 1 species
UACGUAGGGGGCGAGCGUUGUUCGGAAUUACUGGGCGUAAAGCGCGCGCAGGCGGUCUUCCAAGUCAGUGGUGAAAGCCCGGAGCUCAACUCCGGAACUGCCAUUGAAACUGUGAGACUUGAGUACGAGAGAGGUGAGUGGAAUUCCCAGUGUAGAGGUGAAAUUCGUAGAUAUUGGGAAGAACACCGGUGGCGAAGGCGGCUCACUGGCUCGUAACUGACGCUCAGGCGCGACAGCGUGGGGAUCAAACAGG